CAAAUAUAGAAUGGUCUUCCUGGUACUGUGUAGAUGCGGGAAGGGCUAUAUUAGGUAGGUCAUGCCCUGCUUUGCCACAGCACACAUCAUAAAAGAUUUGUUUUCAACAUAAGAACAAUUACCAUUGUCAUAUUCCAAACUGUGUGCAAAUUGUUUUAUUAUAAACUCACCGUUGGUCCCUAUUUAACUGGAAAAUCAUUCACUCUAAAUUUAUCUACUCUCUCUGUAUGGCAUUGACAUUUGUUGGCAAUGCCAGGCUUGCUUCACUUAUAAGAAAAAGAUUUUAUGAAAAACAGGCAAUGCUGUCUUCUGACUGAUUAAUAAUCUCUAGAGGAUCUUUGGAACCUUCUUGCAUGUUAACUCUUCCUGCUCUCUUGCUAAUUUUGACUUUUUAUUGAACUCAGAGACACAAACAAUGGUUUUCAUGAAAUGGAGCAGUAAAAGCAUUCUUCAUCAGACCAGCUCUCCAAAGUAAGAAUGCUCCCUGCCAAAGCUUGGAGAUGAGAAAUGAGUUGUAUAAUGAAAAGUUGUUUGUUUUCUGGAGUUUACAAGUCAAUUUGGGAUACUUCAUCAGCCAAGUUUUUAUCUCUGUACUGGCAACCAUUACAUGUUUUCAAUUUGAAAAAAUGUCCAUUUUUGCUUUCCAUGGCAUCUGUGCUAUAUUCAAACCACUCUGCAAUUUCAUGCAGACAAAGACUUUCCAAGUCACAUGGUCUAUUUGAGUAAUAGGAGUCCAUUAAGAAUGAACAGAGACAACCUGUAUUAUAGUGAUUUCUCCCUUUGUGGGUUUUGCAAUUUCCCUACCAAGCUUUGGUGUUUGAAGAUGACAUUUUGAAAAUUGGAUUUAACUACCUGAAAACUUAGGACACAGAAUUGCCGGCAACCAAUUAGUAGCCUGGAAGGACCUCACUGAGUCAUGACUGUCUGUUUAUCACUUCUUUUUGGAGGAAGGAUAAAGGAGAAAUGCCUAAUCUAUAGACAUCUUUUUGUUAUUUUCCUUAGAAAUGCUAUUCAAAUCUGGAGCUAAGGGAAAAGUCAGAUAUGAAUCCUUGGAGUCGUUAAGUGGCACAAUCUGAAUGUAAAUUUCAUGGCACCAGCCAGGCCUUCAGAUCUCAAUGGUAACUGUUGCUAACCCAAAUAUUGUCACUGAAAAAAUGACACCCAUUAAUAAUUACUAUUCCAAACACAUGAAAGCACCUGAGAAAUGUUCACUCCAGACAUGGUACUUUUGACUACAAAGGGUGAUGGUAUACAUAUUUAUGUGUAAUUGUUUCCUACAUAUGUUACAUUUGAAAACUCACUACAAUUUAUGUUUCCCAAUCUUUCUAGAAACUAGAAGAAAUAACCCAACAAUUAAAAGGCAAUCUAGUUUAACUGACUUGCCAAAGGGCUGACUUUUGAUAGUUAUUAUUCACCAGAAAACAAAACACUGGCUAUUAUGUGGGCUUUGGUAACAGCAUGGCAUGUAGUAGGCUUUACUAUUCAUAAUAAACAUAGAAUAAAAUGGAUGGAUGAAAGUAUCUGUAAUUAUACUUGAACAUAAGAAUCAAAUUUUGAAUAGAUUAUGUGUGUUUUCUUUUCUCUAAAUAUGUAUAAAAUUGAUAUCAAUGCUUGUAAUUACUACUAAAAGCUUUUGUGAUGAAAUGAUUGCCCCAUCUACUCAGGCUACUUUUAAUAUUGUCUUUGUCCAUGCGACUAUGGCAACAUCUUUGGUAUCUAUACCUCAUGCCUUGAUUUUACCUUCCACAAUGGGUCUUCAAACUGCAUCAUUCACAACAGAAACCAUCUGAGGGCACAGACAGUCUUUUGCUACCUCCUUCUGUUAUGGACUGAGUUUAUUUUAAAAUUUCUUUGUUGAAAUCCUAACCCUCAGUAUCUCAGAAUGUGACUAUAUGGAGAUAGGAAGAGGUAACUGAGUUAAAGUGAGGUCAUUAGGGUUGGCUCUAAUCCAGUAUGACUGGUGUCCUUUGAAGAAGAGGAAAUUUAGACACAGACAUGUACAGAGGGAAGACCAUGUGAAGACUCAGGGAGAAGGCAGCCAUCUGCAAGCCAAGAAGAGCCCCAGAAGAAACCAACUCUACUGACACCUUGAUCUCAGAUUUUUAGCUUCCAGAAUUAUAAGAAAAUAAAUUUCUGUUGUUUAAACCACCCAGUCUGUGGCACUGUGUUAUGGCAACUCUAGCAAACUUAUAUACCAUUUUUGUUUUUCUAAAUUUGUACACUUCUUUCCCAAAUAUCAC
rnacentral:lncRNA from 10 species